GCUCACGGUGGGGAGGAGCAAAGAGAUGAAUGUAGCAGCCAAGUACCGCCAGGCAUCCCUGUAUGUGGGUGAUCUCAAUGCAGAUGUCACCGAGGACCUGCUGUUCAAAAAGUUCAGCGCUGUGGGGCCUGUGCUGUCCAUCCGCAUCUGCAGGGACCUGGUCACCCGCCGCUCUCUGGGCUAUGCCUACGUGAACUUUCUGAAGCUGGCUGAUGCCCAGAAGGCCCUGGACACAAUGAACUUUGACAUGAUAAAAGGCAAACCCAUCCGUCUCAUGUGGUCUCAACGUGAUGCCUACUUAAGGAAAUCUGGCAUUGGGAACGUGUUCAUCAAGAAUCUGGACAAAUCUAUUGAUAACAAAACCCUUUAUGAACAUUUUUCAGCUUUUGGGAAGAUCCUGUCCUCCAAGGUGAUGAGUGAUGAUCACGGCUCUAGGGGCUAUGCAUUUGUGCACUUCCAGAACCAGAUCGCGGCCGACAGGGCCAUCGAGGAGAUGAAUGGGGCCCUGCUUAAGGACUGCAGGCUGUUUGUUGGCAGGUUCAAAAACCGUAAAGAUCGGGAAGCCGAGCUCCAAAACAAGGUCAAUGAAUUCACCAAUGUUUACAUCAAAAACUUUGGAGAUGACAUGGAUGAUGAGAGACUGAAGGAAGCUUUUAGUAAAUAUGGCAAAACCCUGAGUGUUAAGGUGAUGACAGAUUCCAGUGGGAAAUCCAAAGGCUUUGGCUUUGUGAGUUUUGAUAGCCAUGAGGCUGCCAAAAAGGCUGUUGAAGAAAUGAAUGGAAAGGACAUAAACGGACAGCUGCUUUUUGUAGGCCGGGCGCAAAAGAAAUCAGAGCGGCAGGCUGAGUUAAAGCAAAUGUUUGAGCAGCUGAAACAGGAAAGAUUUCGGAGAUGCCAGGGCAUGAAGCUCUAUAUUAAGAACCUCGAUGAUACCAUUGAUGAUGAAAAACUGUGGAGGGAAUUUUCUUCGUUUGGGUCAAUUAGCAGAGUCAAGAUAAUGCGGGAAGAAGGGCGAAGCAAAGGGUUUGGCUUGAUCUGCUUCUCUUCUCCUGAGGAGGCCACUAAAGCAAUGGCUGAGAUGAAUGGCCGAAUCUUGGGCUCUAAGCCACUCUACGUUGCCCUGGCCCAGAGGCCCUAGGAGAGAAAAAAUUCCUGCACCAGCCAGUGUUUGCAGCAGGCGUGA